UCGGGUGUGGUGUACGGAACACCGCGCGUCUCCUUAAAGUCGUGGCUAAGAGGAGCGCGCAGUCCGGGGUUCGACUCCCUGCGCCCGAA